CCCAGACUCCUACGGGAGGCAGCAGUGGGGGAUAUUGCACAAUGGGGGAAACCCUGAUGCAGCGACGCCGCGUGGGUGAAGAAGCGCCUCGGCGCGUAAAGCCCUGUCAGCAGGGAAGAAAAUGACGGUACCUGAAGAAGAAGCCCCGGCUAACUACGUGCCAGCAGCCGCGGUAAUACGUAGGGGGCAAGCGUUAUCCGGAUUUACUGGGUGUAAAGGGAGCGUAGACGGCUGGCCAAGUCUGAAGUGAAAGCCCGGGGCUUAACCCCGGAACGGCUUUGGAAACUGGCCGGCUGGAGUGCUGGAGGGGCAGGCGGAAUUCCUGGUGUAGCGGUGAAAUGCGUAGAUAUCAGGAGGAACACCGGCGGCGAAGGCGGCCUGCUGGACCGCGACUGACGUUGAGGCUCGAAAGCGUGGGGAGCGAACAGGAUUAGAUACCCGUGUACG
rnacentral:rRNA from 1 species